AUGACCAUGGUGCUGCGUGGCACAGGGCCACCCCGCCAUAGGCAUGAGCCAAGCCUAUUAUCUGCACACAGCAGGACCCACUUUCUGGUGCCUGAAGGGCUGCGUUUCCGGAGGAGCUCUCUCUGCAGAAUCACCUCGUCCUGCACUGCCAGAGCUGUUGUGCCCACAGGCAUGGAUGCACCGCUCCAGAAUCGCCCCAGCUGGUUCGGGACACCUCACAGCUGCUUGUGGGCAGCGAGUCAAGUCCAAAACCUUUUCUGGCUUUGUUCCUACUGUGACCGGUUCCUGCUGGCUGCCAUUAACUUCUCAAGGCAUAGAACCAGCAGCUGCAUUGAAUUGCCCCGCAAUAACAGCAUGAGAAGUCUGUGCAGCACCUAUAAUAGCAUCAGACUUUUGUUCACAUAA
rnacentral:lncRNA from 1 species